rfam:Pseudozyma hubeiensis SY62 DNA, scaffold: PHS15.
GGUCGAAUGCCCGAGUGGUUAUGGGGCUGGCUUCAAGAACGCGAAAGUUUGAUUUCUUGGCCACGUUAUGGCAACACCUCCAGUAUAUCCUGGGUUCGAAUCCCAGUUCGACCA